rnacentral:rRNA from 1 species
GAGUUUGAUCCUGGCUCAGGACGAACGCUGGCGGCGCACUUAAAGCAUGCAAGUUGAACGAGGUCUUCGGACCUAGUGGCGAACGGGUGAGUAACACGUGAGGAACCCACCCCGGAGACCGGGAUAACGGCCGGAAACGGCUGCUAAUACCGGAUGCCCCCACCGGAUCGCAUGGUCUGGUGAGGAAAUGGAUUCCGCUCCGGGACGGCCUCGCGGCCUAUCAGCUUGUUGGUGGGGUAAUGGCCUACCAAGGCAUCGACGGGUAGCUGGUCUGAGAGGACGAUCAGCCACACUGGGACUGAGACACGGCCCAGACUCCUACGGGAGGCAGCAGUGGGGAAUAUUGGACAAUGGGGGCAACCCUGAUCCAGCCAUGCCGCGUGAGUGAUGAAGGCCUUCGGUUGUAAAGCUC